GCUAGGCAUGGUGGCACAUCCUUGCUGUCCCUGCUUUUGGAGAGGCUGAGGCUGGUAGAUCACUUGAGCUUGGGAGUUGCUAAAUUGCUAAAGCAAUUAUAGGUCCUCACUAAGCCUGGCACCAGUAUGGUGAACCCCUGGGAUCAGGGGCCACAAGGCUGCCUAAAGAGGGACAAACCAACCCAGUUCAGAAAAAUGGAGCAGGUCAAACCAUCCAUGCAGAUCAGCAGUGGGAUCAAACCCAUGAAAGCAUGAUAUGCUUCUAGACUGGGUUAGAGAGAAGACUCAGUCUUA
rnacentral:SRP_RNA from 1 species